rnacentral:rRNA from 1 species
CUCUCCAAUUGUUUUAUGCUUGCAUAAAUGAUUUUUGGAUUCGGAGCGAGUGGCGAACUGGUGAGUAACACGUGGGUAACCUGCCCCGAAGCGGGGGAUAACAUUUGGAAACAAGUGCUAAUACCGCAUAAUUAGUUGGAACCGCAUGGUUCCAACUUGAAAGAUGGCUCUGCUAUCACUUUGGGAUGGACCCGCGCCGUAUUAGUUAGUUGGUGAGAUAAAAGCCCACCAAGACGAUGAUACGUAGCCGACCUGAGAGGGUAAUCGGCCACAUUGGGACUGAGACACGGCCCAGACUCCUACGGGAGGCAGCAGUAGGGAAUCUUCCACAAUGGACGAAAGUCUGAUGGAGCAACGCCGCGUGAGUGAUGAAGGUUUUCGGAUCGUAAAACUCUGUUGUUAAAGAAGAACAAGUGUUAGAGUAACUGUUAACACUUUGACGGUAUUUAACCAGAAAGCCACGGCUAACUACGUGCCAGCAGCCGCGGUAAUACGUAGGUGGCAAGCGUUGUCCGGAUUUAUUGGGCGUAAAGCGAGCGCAGGCGGUUUUGUAAGUCUGCUGUGAAAGCCCUCAGCUCAACUGAGGAAGUGCAGUGGAAACUACAAAACUUGAGUACAGAAGAGGAAAGUGGAACUCCAUGUGUAGCGGUGAAAUGCGUAGAUAUAUGGAAGAACACCAGUGGCGAAGGCGGCUUUCUGGUCUGUUACUGACGCUGAGGCUCGAAAGCAUGGGUAGCGAACAGGAUUAGAUACCCUGGUAGUCCAUGCCGUAAACGAUGAAUACUAGGUGUUGGAGGGUUUCCGCCCUUCAGUGCCGCAGCUAACGCAUUAAGUAUUCCGCCUGGGGAGUACGACCGCAAAGGUUGAAACUCAAAGGAAUUGACGGGGGCCCGCACAAGUGGUGGAGCAUGUGGUUUAAUUCGAUGCUACGCGAAGAACCUUACCAGCUCUGACAUCUUCUGCUAACCCAAGAGAUUGGGCGUUCCCUUCGGGGACAGAUGACAGUGGUGCAUGGGUUGGUCGUCAGCUCGUGUCGUGAGAUGUUGGGUUUAAGUCCGCACGAGCGCACCCUUAUU